rnacentral:rRNA from 1 species
UAGGAAUCUUCCACAAUGGGCGCAAGCCUGAUGGAGCAACACCGCGUGAGUGAAGAAGGGUUUCGGCUCGUAAAGCUCUGUUGUUAAAGAAGAACACGUACGAGAGUAACUGUUCAUACGUUGACGGUAUUUAACCAGAAAGUCACGGCUAACUACGUGCCUG